GGGAAUCUCUUAAACAGAACUCCAAUGGCUCAUGUUCUAAGAUCAAAAAUUGAUAAGUGGGACCUCAUGAAACUGGAAAGCUUCUGUAAGGCAAAGGACAUAGUCAAUAAGACAAAUCAGCAACCUACAGAUUGGGAAAAAAAUAUUCACUAACUCCACAUCUGAUAGAGGGCUAAUACCCAAAAUAUAUAAAGAACUAAAGAAAUUAAUCAUGAAAAACAAACAAACAAACAAUACAAUACAAUAAAAAAUUGGGGUAUAGAACUAAACUGAGAAUUCACAACUGAAGAGUCUCCAAUGGCUGAAAGGCUCCUAAAGAAAUGUUCAAAGUCCUUAGUGAUCAGAAAAUGCAAAUCAAAACAACCCUGCAAUUCCACCUUACACUGAUCAGAAUGGCUAAGAUCAAAACCUCUGGUGACAACACAUGUGGGAGAGGAUGUGGAGAAAGAAGAGCACUCCUCCAUUGCUGGUGGGAUUGCAAACUGGUACAAUCACUCUGGGAAUUAAUGUGGAGGUUCCUCAGAAAUUUGGAAAUAGAUUUACCUGAAGACUCAUCUAUACCACUCUUAGGAAUAUGCCCAAAAGAGGGCCUACCAUACCACAAGGGCACGUGUUCCACUAUGCUCAUAGUGGCCUUAUUUGUGAUAGCCAGAAGCUGGAAACAACCUAGAUGUCCCAUGACAUAAGAAUGGAUACAGAAAAUGUGGUUCAUUUACACAACGGAAUACUACUCAGCUAUUAAAAACGUGGACAUCCUGACUUUUGCAGGCAAACGGAUGGAACUAGAAAAUAUUAUCCCAAGUGAGGCAACUAAGACCCAGAAGGAUGUGCAUGGUAUGUGCUCACUAAUAAGUGGAUGUUAGCCAAAAAACAAAACAAAACAAAAC
rnacentral:lncRNA from 1 species